rnacentral:misc_RNA from 1 species
AGAUAGCACCCACAAGAAUACGUGGAGGCUUAAACAUACUGUUCCAGCUUAACGUCACCAUCGGCAUUCUUUUUGCCAACCUUGUCAAUUACGGGACUGCAAAAAUUAAAGGGGGAUGGGGUUGGAGACUAUCGUUGGGAUUGGCAGGGAUNNNNNNUUCUCUUGACUUUUGGGUCUCUCCUGGUGUCAGAAACUCCUAACAGCCUCAUUGAGCGUGGCCGUCUGGAAGAAGGAAAAUCAGUUCUCAAAAAGAUUCGGGGCACAGAUAAUAUUGAACCAGAGUUCCUGGAGCUUGUUGAGGCAAGCCGUAUAGCAAAGUGGCAAAAGAAGUGAAGCAUCCCUUCAGGAAUCUCAUGAGGAGGAGGAACCGCCCCCAGUUGGUUAUAG